AUGAACGCUGGCGGCGUGCCUAAUACAUGCAAGUCGAGCGAACAGACGAGGAGCUUGCUCCUCUGACGUUAGCGGCGGACGGGUGAGUAACACGUGGAUAACCUACCUAUAAGACUGGGAUAACUUCGGGAAACCGGAGCUAAUACCGGAUAAUAUAUUGAACCGCAUGGUUCAAUAGUGAAAGACGGUUUUGCUGUCACUUAUAGAUGGAUCCGCGCCGCAUUAGCUAGUUGGUAAGGUAACGGCUUACCAAGGCGACGAUGCGUAGCCGACCUGAGAGGGUGAUCGGCCACACUGGAACUGAGACACGGUCCAGACUCCUACGGGAGGCAGCAGUAGGGAAUCUUCCGCAAUGGGCGAAAGCCUGACGGAGCAACGCCGCGUGAGUGAUGAAGGUCAUCGGAUCGUAAAACUCUGUUAUUAGGGAAGAACAAAUGUGUAAGUAACUAUGCACGUCUUGACGGUACCUAAUCAGAAAGCCACGGCUAACUACGUG
rnacentral:rRNA from 1 species